UACGAAGGGGGCGAGCGUUGUUCGGAAUUACUGGGCGUAAAGGGCGCGUAGGCGGUCGUGACAAGUCACUUGUGAAAUCUCCGGGCUUAACUCGGAACGGUCAAGUGAUACUGUCGGACUAGAGUACAGAAGGGGCAACUGGAAUUCUCGGUGUAGCGGUGAAAUGCGUAGAUAUCGAGAGGAACACCUGCGGCGAAGGCGGGUUGCUGGGCUGAUACUGACGCUGAUGCGCGAAAGCCAGGGGAGCGAACGGG
rnacentral:rRNA from 1 species